rnacentral:lncRNA from 1 species
UUGAAACAGGGGCAAAAACAACAGUUGUGUCAGGAAACACCCGGUGAAGGAAAUAGCAAUCAGGCGUCCACCUGGAGAAAAAGGAAAAAGAAAGGAAAUAGCAAUCAGGCAGUCCACCUGGAGAACAAGGAUGAAGAAAAGAAAUAGCAAUCAGGCGUCCACCUGGAGAACAAGGAUGAAGAAAGGAAAUAGCAAUCAGGUGUCCAUCUGGAGAACAAGGAUGAGGAAAGGAAAUAGCAAUCAGGCGUCCACCUGGAGAACAAGG